rnacentral:rRNA from 1 species
UACGGAGGGGGCUAGCGUUGUUCGGAAUUAUUGGGCGUAAAGCGCACGUAGGCGGCCUUGUAAGUCGGAUGUGAAAUCCCUCGGCUUAACCGAGGACGUGCAUCCGAAACUGUGAGGCUCGAGUAUGGAAGAGGGUCGCAGAAUUCCCGGUGUAGAGGUGAAAUUCGUAGAUAUCGGGAGGAAUACCAGUGGCGAAGGCGACUACCUGGCCUGUUCUUGACGCUGAGGCGCGAAAGCUAGGGGAGCAAACGGG